rnacentral:lncRNA from 1 species
UCAAAUUUAAUCAUAUGUGUAUAAUACCUAAAAGUCUAAAAACCAAGUCUUAUCCCUUUUUAACCAUGGUUUCUUGUAGCCACGUGUAAACAUCUCAUUGGCUCUCAUGAUCCUGUUUGCGACCACCGCUUCUCAUUAAAAACACGGAGGAGUUGUAGGUUUUUCGUACCACAAACAAAAAGAUGUCGGUUGUUGGAGGAAUUAGCGAAUCAAAGGGCGUUGAAAACAGCCUUGAGAUCGACGAACUCGCUCGAUUUGCCGUUGAUGAACACAAUAAGAAGCAGAAUGCCCUGCUGGAAUUUGGGAAGGUAGUGAAUACAAAGGAGCAGGUAGUUGCUGGUAAAAUGUAUUAUAUCACACUUGAAGCAACUGAUGGGGGUGUCAAAAAGACUUAUGAAGCCAAGGUUUGGGUUAAGCCAUGGGAAAACUUCAAAGAAUUGCAGGAGUUCAAGCCUGUUGAUGCUGCCACAUCAGCAUAAACUUCCAUCUGGGCGAGAGUGCUAGAAGACCGCUAUCAGGUUGUGAAGCUUAAUCCAAUAAAUAGUUUCGUUAGGUUAACAAUAAACAUUUCUUGCAUUACGUUGCAAGUUUAUGCCCCAUCGUAUGUGUAAUGGAACUUGUUUCGUUCUAUUUAUACUAGUGUCUUUUUAUCUAUAAACCGUUUUUUAGCCAAAUCCGGUACCGUAUAAAAACCUGAUUUUAAAACAUUGCUUCCAUGUCUACCUUAAGUUAGCACCUACACUGUCAUUACUAAACAAGGAAUCUUCCAAACCAAACUGUACCAAGAUUCACAACUGCUAAAUUGUGAUUUUCUUUUGAGUCAGUGUCUUCUAGUGAAUCGAGAGUCGUGUUUGGCUUUGGCUUAUCGCUAAUGCUAAUGCUGGGAUUUCUUUCAUGUUUGUCAUAAGCUGCUGUCGCCGCAUAGGCUUCUUUAUCUGCUCGACUCGGUCUACCACGACCUUUCCCUGCCCCUUCCUCUUCCUCUACCGCUCCUAUUUGAAUGGGAAAUUUCAGGCUGCAAAUAAUUUUAUGAUGUGUACAUGUUUUAUAAUCUUAUAUUGUUAAAAGUUAUAUGUGGGGACGAUCAAUACCGAAAAUAUGAUCUUAAACUCAAUUUGAAAUACCAAAUAAUUGACAUCUCUUCUAAGGGAGGUGGGCGCACUCCGUGAU